UCUUAUGUCAAAAAGUUGAAAUGAUUUGUCAAACAUCAACAUUUUUAUCAAAAUAACACAAUAUUCUAAACGGGGGAAUUAAAAUCUACAGUUGCUAAUCCCAUAGGAGUAAAUGACCUCAAUAUGGACAACAUUUCCCCACCUCCUAAUGCCUCCCCCGAGGAAAUUGAAGCGUGGAACCAGAUGAUGGACACCAUGGUAACCUUCAUAAAGGCCUCCACCAACCUAAUGAACACUAUUACCACUAAAGUAAGAUUUUCUAGUCAAGCAUGGAUGGGAACCAAGGGAGCGAAAGCUGUUGGAGGGUGCGAACCAGAAUGUGAGGCCUGUUUACCGAAGCCUCCACCGCCACCUUGUGGAGUUUGUACCGAAGAUAAUAAGACAGCAGCAAAAAAAGUUCCAUCUUCAAAAACUGGAGUUGCUAAGGAACCUUCUGGGUCACUGAAAUCAGCAUCAGCUGUAAAAUCCCCGUCAGCUGUUGCAGAGGCGGAACCAGCAUCCGCUGAAGGAGCAUCAUCGACAGACGCACAUGACAUUGCCUUUGUUUCAACAGAAGAAGAAACACCUGCCGAAGAUGUUCCCGCAGAAGAAGUCCCUGCAGUAGACGAUAAUGCUGAAGAAGCUCCUGGAGGAGAAGUUCCUGCAGAAGUAACGCCGACUGAUGAAGAGGCUCCAGCUGUUGUUGAAGAGGAUGAUGGCGAAAAUCAAGAAGCAGAAGAAGCCAAAAAAUUAGACGAAAAUGAACUACCUGAGAAAGAACCGGCUGGAGGUGAUAAUAGUAAAUGCUGCUGUAGUACCAUACGAGAAGAAAGGGCACAAAAUAAAAAAAGUCAUUGCAAGUGCAAGAAAAAGAAGAAAAAACGUGAUAUAUCCAGUGAAGCAGUUAUAGAAGAGGAACAAGAAGAUGAAGCAGAAGAAGUUGAAGAAGUUGAAAGGAAAUGUGGUUGCGGAGCCACCCCAGGAAAUAAGGAGUGGUUAAUGCAGGAAAUGGUAGUAAAGUUGGAAAAUGCGCAAAGCGAGAUUACCCAACUGCAAGAAGAACUCGCGAAACUUCAAAGAAUGGACAUGUCUAAGAAAGUUGGACCUCAUGCUACCCCGAAUCCAGCAAAACUAUAUCAAGAAAUUAUGAGAGGGUCGCAGCCACCUUCAUCGCCAACUUCUCGUAUGUAUCCGCAAAUGAUGCAGCCAAGUCUAUAUGCGGGAAAUAUGACAGGAUACCCCGAUAGUGGUUAUAAUGUUAGAACAAAUCAAACUAGAAUGCCAAAUCAAUCAGUUAACCAAUUACCCAAUCAAUCAAGAAAUCAGUUAAUAAGCCAAUCUCUAAACCGAGUACCUAAUCAGUCAGCAAAUCAGUCUGUAACUCAGCCCCCCAAUCAGUCAGGUAACUUACCGGGAAAACCAGACUGUGAUGCUCCAUGUGCAGGCCUAAGUAAAAAGGAGGAAUCGGAAACUUCGUUGGAUUGUGCUCCCGGAUGUGAUGGUCGAACGAAUUCAAGGACUGUAACAGGAUAUGGAAGUUCUAUGGCCACAGAUGCGAUUGACGAAUUCGUAUCAAGGAGCUGGUGGGCAGAAUAUGGGAGCUCGAUCCGCAACGCCUUAUCCAAAUGUUCAGCAGCCACCCAGAAGGAACUCCUGGGGCGGAAACCAGGCACAAAUGGAUCCCGCAGGAUAUAAUAGAGGCGCUCCUAACUUUGCCCAAGGGCAAAAUUUUCAACAGCAAAAUUACAUAGGAGGUGCUGCACCACCAGGUUAUCCUCUCAAUUUAGGACCAUCAGAUUAUUAUAACCUUAGGGGACAAUAUGGAGUACCUGCACAACCAUCAGUCAUAAGAGAAUCUGUUUUAUGUCCU
rnacentral:misc_RNA from 1 species